rnacentral:rRNA from 1 species
AGGGUUUGAUCAUGGCUCAGAACGUACGCUGGCGGCACGCCUAAUACAUGCAAGUCGAACGAAGUAGCAAUACUUAGUGGCAGACGGGUGAGUAACGUGUAGGUAUCUACCCUUUGGCCUGGAAUAACACGAGGAAACUUGUGCUAAUACCGGAUAAGUCUUUACGGAGAAAGCUUUAUGCACCAUUGGAUGAGCCUGCACUUGAUUAGUUUGUUGGUGGGGUAAUGGCUUACCAAGACAAUGAUCAAUAGCUGAUUUGAGAGGAUGAUCAGCCACAUUGGGACUGAGACACGGCCCAAACUCCUACGGGAGGCAGCAGUAGGGAAUCUUGCACAAUGGAGGAAACUCUGAUGCAGCGAUGCCGCGUGAGUGAAGAAGGCCUUUGGGUUGUAAAGCUCUUUCGUCGGGGAAGAAAAUGACUGUACCCGAAUAAGAAGGUCCGGCUAACUUCGUGCCAGCAGCCGCGGUAAUACGAAGGGACCUAGCGUAGUUCGGAAUUACUGGGCUUAAAGAGUUCGUAGGUGGUUAAAAAAGUUGGUGGUGAAAUCCCAGAGCUUAACUCUGGAACUGCCAUCAAAACUUUUUAGCUAGAGUAUGAUAGAGGAAAGCAGAAUUUCUAGUGUAGAGGUGAAAUUCGUAGAUAUUAGAAAGAAUACCGAUUGCGAAGGCAGCUUUCUGGAUCAUUACUGACACUGA